AAUCAACGCUGGCGGCGUGCCUCAGACAUGCAAGUCGAACGAGAAAGUCCCCUUCGGGGGAUGAGUAAAGUGGCGCACGGGUGAGUAACACGUAGGUAAUCUACCUUCGGGUGGGGAAUAACCCAGGGAAACUUGGGCUAACACCGCAUAAUGCAGCGGUACCACAUGGUGACAGUUGUUAAAGCGGGGGAUUUUAGGACCUCGCGCCUGAAGAGGAGCCUGCGGCGGAUUAGCUAGNGGUGAGGUAACGGCUCACCAAGGUAACGAUCCGUAGCCGGCCUGAGAGGGCGGUCGGCCACACUGACGCUGACAUACGGGUCAGACUCCUACGGGAGGCAGCAGUCGGGAAUUUGGGCAAUGGGCGAAAGCCUGACCCAGCAACGCCGCGUGAAGGAUGAAAUCCCUCGGGAUGUAAACUUCGUAAGAAUAGGAAGAAUAAGUGUAGGAUAAUACCUGCACUGAUGACGGUACUAUUCGUAAGCUCCGGCUAACUCCGUGCCAGCCGCCGCAGU
rnacentral:rRNA from 1 species